CCCUGCUUAGCUCAAUUGGUAGAGCGCUCCACCUGUAAUGGAGAGUUUCCGGGUUUAAUACCCGGACCAGGCG
rfam:Ixodes scapularis strain Wikel colony gcontig_1108378429954, whole genome shotgun sequence.